rnacentral:rRNA from 1 species
GAUGAACGCUAGCGGCAGGCUUAAUACAUGCAAGUCGUGGGGCAGCAGGUCUGUAGCAAUACAGAUGCUGGCGACCGGCAAACGGGUGCGUAACACGUACGCAACUUACCCAUUACAGGGGAAUAGCCCAGGGAAACUUGGAUUAAUACCCCAUAUUAUAUAGGACUGGCAUCAGUCUUAUAUCAAAGCUUCGGCGGUAAUGGAUGGGCGUGCGGUUGAUUAGAUAGUUGGCGGGGUAACGGCCCACCAAGUCUACGAUCAAUAGCUGAUGUGAGAGCAUGAUCAGCCACACGGGCACUGAGACACGGGCCCGACUCCUACGGGAGGCAGCAGUAAGGAAUAUUGGGCAAUGGACGAAAGUCUGACCCAGCCAUGCCGCGUGAAGGAUGAAGGUCCUCUGGAUUGUAAACUUCUUUUAUCUGGGGCGAAAAUCACCCUUUCUAGGGUGCUUGACAGUACCAGAGGAAUAAGCACCGGCUAACUCCGUGCCAGCCGCCGCGGUAACAC